AUUGAACGCUGGCGGCAUGCUUUACACAUGCAAGUCGAACGGUAACAGGCCUUCGGGUGCUGACGAGUGGCGAACGGGUGACUAAUGCAUCGGAACGUACCCAGAGGUGGGGGAUAACGCAGCGAAAGCUGUGCUAAUACCGCAUGUGAUCUGAGGAUGAAAGCGGGGGACCGAGCAGCAAUGUUUGGCCUCGCGCCUUUGGAGCGGCCGAUGUCGGAUUAGCUAGUUGGUGGGGUAAAGGCCUACCAAGGCGACGAUCCGUAGCUGGUCUGAGAGGACGACCAGCCACACUGGGACUGAGACACGGCCCAGACUCCUACGGGAGGCAGCAGUGGGGAAUUUUGGACAAUGGGCGCAAGCCUGAUCCAGCAAUGCCGCGUGCGGGAAGAAGGCCUUCGGGUUGUAAACCGCUUUUGGCAGGAACGAAACGGUGUCCGCUAAUACCGGGCGCUAAUGACGGUACCUGCAGAAUAAGCACCGGCUAACUACGUG
rnacentral:rRNA from 1 species